GGGUCUUUGAUCUAUAAUUUACGACAGAGCUGUCUGAUGUAUGUAUGCAAAACCCCAUAGCAAAUCAAUGCAUUUUGUAGAGAAGGUUGGAUUUUUCCAGGUGGGCUAGUCCUGCCUCUCUCCCCUGGCUCACCAAUGAGGAGGAUAUGAGGAUAUGACUAACAUGAGGUUCUGCAGUGCCAUGAAGUGAGGAACAAGAUCCUUCUUGGCAGAUGGGUGGCACAAUCUUUUUUUUUUUUUUUCACUCUUUUGCCCAGGCUGAAGUGCAGUGGUGUGAUCCGUAAUCUCGGCAAACAGAGCUAUCUCCAGCUAUGUUUCCCAGUGCCCAGACUGCCUGAAAAGGGGAUAAUGAAACUGUCACCCACAAAGCUUGGUACUUCUGUGAGUACUUUAUAGCCACAACUGCAAAGUGAGUACCCACCAGGAUGAGAAUGAUGUCAAGGCCCCAAAUAUACUACACAAGCUCAGGUAACCUCCCUAUUGAAAUUAUUACUGAGCACUUGUUCUACAACGACCUAUCCCUGGGAGCUCCUGGUUCAGCAGGGAAAGACAGG
rnacentral:lncRNA from 1 species